UUUUUUUUUUUUUCAUGGCUGGCAAUGACUUAAGUCACCUAAUGUAGUGACUUUUGAGGAAACUAAUUUUGCCAUGUUUUCUUUCCUAGGGAUAUAAGUUUAUAAGAAACUGUCAAGGCUGAAGCUACUUUUUCCUCCAUAGACAAGCUUUCCUUUAUGGAAAAAUAUACCAUCCCCCCAAAGGAGACUGAUUCCUCAGAUAGAAAAUAUCUCUGAGGAACAGAAGACGGAGGCUGGACUUCAAAGGGCCAGCAUGUUGGCUUCUUUCCCCAUCUUUGCUGUAAGUCUAGAAAUUCAGAGGAAGAAAAGGAGACUGAUUCCAAAAUGUGGCUGAAGUCCAUCUCAAUUCGUUGCUAAAAAAUACUUCAACUUUUGACUGGAAUGACUUAAAUACAGGACUAAUAAACCAAGUUCAAAGUGUAGAAGCUGUUAAAAUGCAAAAUAUAAUGAUACAUCUCACACACAGAGAUACACCUAAAUUACAGAUACAUAAGCGUAUGUGUCAGUGUGAUUCUGUUUAUUUUCCAAGACUUUUUUUUUUAUGGCUGAACCCAUGGCACAUGGAAGUUCCCAGGCUAGGGGUCAAAUCAGAGCUGCAGCUUCCAGCCUACACCACAGCCACAGAAAUGCCAGAUGGAGCUGCCUCUGUGACCUACACCACAACUCACAGCAGCACCGGACCCUUAAGCCGCUGGGCAAGGUCCAAGACAUUUUUACAUUCUCAUUUUAGCUAGUUAUAAUGAGAAGGUCUUAGGGAUACUCUGGUGGAUAACAAGAGAAACUCAUCCAAACUAACUUAGAUACACAGGAAACAGGAAGACGUUAUGAAUCUAGACAAAAACUCGUAAGUUCCAAGGAGAGAAAAUCCAGUCAAACCUAUGGAGACAGACCGAAUCUAGAAACUAGAAGACCACUGGGAACCAAGGAAAUCUUCUUUCUAUGCCACGUUCUCUAAGCCUCAGACCACCUCCUCUUGUAUCUGUCCCAACGGGCUCUGUGGCUUCUCUUCACAUAGGGCUGAGACAGCGUGCCACUCACAAUAGCACUUCUUAUCUAUGUUAGCCUGCCCUUGGUUCAAGUGGCCUGCUGGGACUUCAAAGACUCUCUAAGUUCCCAAUUCUGGGCAAAGCACUUCCAUCUGACCCAGCUUGGGUCAAUCGUCUACUCCUGACCUCAUCAGCUACAUUGGUUAAAACAGUACCAGUUAGAACAAGCAAGUCUGCCUACAGAGUUCUACUGGCAGAGAAACUCUAAGAAAUAAGAUUGGGGGAGGAGAAAGGAGUCGUGGGCAAGCUUGAUGCUCCUGAAGUGGAACAACUCCGAAAGCGCAUUGUUAUAAUUAUCCUAAUCUUCCAUACCAGCAAAAAGCAUAGAAGGGUUCAAUCACCUGUCCAGUAUCUCACAGGUGAUGAGUGUCAGGACCACUACCUGAAUCCAAGUCUCCAGAAUUCUUUCUCCACAAAUCUAAGUUAGCACCUGUAUAAUGGAAUCCAUGGCAAACAGAAUGCGAUAAAUUAUAGCCUAUUAAAUACUAUUAUUAUUACUAUAAAAGGACUAAGAAAAUGUUUUAAAAAUGUGACCUAGACUAUUUGUCUUCCUACAUCAGCUCAGCCACCUGCUUGUGUAAGCUAGAAGCUGCCAUCAAAUGUCUAGUAGGACUCAGAAUGUGGUGAAGUCUGGAGAGAACCUGUCACAUAUUCUGGGCAAGAGUCAGAGAGUCCUAUCCAAAGCAUGGUGGCUCCAGAUCCACACAGUCCAGCAGAGAAGGGUGAGGGGCAUUCAACUUCACCCUUCUUGAGAAUGCUCAGUCUCCCUGAGUUCAAAGAGUCCAGGACAAGGCUACAUGAAGGUGACACAUGUUAUUGCAUGGUGUGGGGCAUGGAGGAAGACCAGACUUUAAAAUGUCUUCCUACGAUUGUGGUAAGAGAAGUUUAAAAGCCUGUCCCUAAAUCCCACACCCAUAAGGCUAGAAAUCUCUCUUCACCACACCUGUGCCAAGAGGAUAUCUGGCUUCACUGGUUAAGAAUAUUCCCACAGAAGUUGCCGUCACGGCUCAGUGGUUAACGAAUCUGACUAGGAACCAUGAGGUUGCGGGUUUGAUCCCUGGCCUUGUUCAUUGCUUUGUUUGAAACUAUUUUUUCCCAUUCCAUAGGUGGUUGUUUUUUUUAUGGUUUCUUCUGCUGUGCAUAGGCUCAUAAGUUUGAUUAGGUCCCACUGGUUUAUUUUUGUUUUUAUUUCUGUUGCUUUGGGAGAUUGACCUAAAAAGACAUUUGUACAGUUGAUGUCAGAGAAUUUUUUGCCUAUGUUCUUUUCUAGGAAUUUUAUGGUGUCUUGUUUUAUGGUUAAGUAUUUAAGCCAUUUAGAGUUUACUUUUGUGCCUGGUAUGAGGGUAUAUUCUAGUUUCAUUGAUCUACAUGCAGCUGUCCAGUUUUCCCAGCACCACUUCCUGAAAAGACUUUUUCCCAUUUCAUAUUAUUGCCUCCUUUGUUGAAGAUUAAUUGACCAAAGGUGUCUGGGUUUAUUUCCGGGUUCUCUAUUCCAUACCAUUGGUCUGUAUUUCUGUUUUUGUACCAGUAGCACACACUGUCUUGAUUACUAUAGCUUUGUAAUACUGUCUGAAGUUUGGGAGAGUUAUGCCUCUUGCACAUGACCCAGCACUCUCAUUCCUGAGUAUAUAUCCAGACAAAAGUUUCACUGAAAAAGAUACAUGCACCCCUAGCUUCAUUGCAGCACUAUUCAAAAUAGCCAAGACAUGGCAACAAUCUAAAUGUCCAUCGACAGAUGAAUGGAUUAAGAUGUGGUAUAUAUACACAAUGGAAUACUACUCAGCCAUGAAAAGAACAAAAAAUAAUGUCAUUUGCAGCAACACGGAUGGCACUAGAGACUUUCAUACUAAGUGAUGUAAGUCAGAAAGACAGAGACAAAUACCAUAUGAUAUCACGUAUCUGGAAUCUAAUAUAUGGCACAAAUGAACCUAUCUACAGAAAAGAAAGAAAUUCAUGGGCUUGGAGAACAGACUUGUGUUUGCCAAGGAGGAGGGGGAAGGAGUGGGAUGGACUGGGAGCUUGGGGUCAAUAGAUGCAAACUAUUGCAUUUGGAAUGGAUAAGCAAUGCAAUCCUGCUGUAUAGCACAGGGAACUAUAUCUAGUCACUUGCAAUGGAACAUGAUGGAAGAUAACGUGAGAAAAAAAAAUGUACACAUAUUUAUCUAUGACUGGGUCACUUUCCUAUACAGCAGAAAAUGAUAGAACACUGUAAAUGAACUAAAAUAGAAAAAAAUAAAAAUCUAAAAAAAUAAAAAAGAAAUAUUUGAAAAAAUACUCUAAAUGAUGAAUGAGACCAAACUGAACUUUUCGAAAAACAUAAGAAAAGAUAAACCAAACAGAAUACAGCGUUGAACAAUGAAAUUUAACACAAAGCCUCCCAGGAAAUGUGUCAUAAGAAUGCUAAAUAAAGACUUAUUAAACUCAACAGGCACUUAUAAAGGAGAUUCAUUUUCUUUACUCCCCCCCCCAAAAAAAAAGUAAGGAGAAGAUAAAGGCAUUUGUCAAGUGUUAUGAGUAUGAAAGGCAGAAACAGAUGAGAAGAUAAAAUUUGCCUGAAAUCAUUUUCCUGUGGGGGAAGUAAAAGGAAAAUAGAAAGGGAGAAAUUCUGUGUUUAUAUUGAAGAAAAAUGCAUUUUUUUUUAUGGCCAUACCUGCAGCAUAUGGAAGUUCUCAGGCUAGGGGUCAAAUUGGAACUGCAGCUGCAGGCCUACACUGCAGCCAUAGCAACAUCGGAUCUGAGCCACAACUUGUGGCAACACCGAAAUCUCAGGUCCUUAACCAGCUGUGCCACAAAGGGAAGCCCCCCAAAAUGCAUUUUGUGUGGGAUUGUAUUUUCUACCAUAUAAUAGUAGUCACCUAUAUUUGAUUAAAAUAGCAUUAAAAGGAAUGGUGGUUAUUAUUAGGAUAAAAGAAAUAGUGUAGAGCCUCUAUAUUAAUAUUUAUUCAGAUCUCAAGCCUAAUCCUUUUAGCAGAAAGAUGCUUAUCAGGUAGGUCUGUGAGUCAUGCAUGGCUAAUGUGAUAUAUAAAAAGGAGGACACUGACAGAUAUUUGGACAAAGAGAAAGGACUUUGUCUUCUGGAUAAUGAUGAGUUAUAAACUACAGUCAGAUUGUCCAGCAAGUGAAUACAAGAAGUACCUUAAUUUUAGGAAGAAAAGCAACAAUAUCUAAAUGUCACACAGAAAAUUAUCUGGAAAGCAAAGGAAAAGACAAACUAAUGUUUUAAUACUUGCAUGAAUAUCCUCCCUAGAUUUUCUUUACAAAUCAGUUGAGAGGCAUCUGGAAUGAACAUAUUUAUCACAUGUGCAUCACAACAAUGGUUUAUAAACCAUGAUGAAACAGUUUGUUUUCCCCUAGAAAUCCCCAAGCAAGGACUGCAGAACAAAGAUAAAAGGACACAACUAAAAUAAUCUCAUUUCCUUUAUUUUAAAUACUUUGCACUAAAAGCAUCUGUUUCAGAAACACAGCUGUUUUUGGCAUCCCACGUCUAUCACCUCCCCCAGACAAAAGCUAAGAUCAUUGAUUAAAACAGCACCAAUAUGACAUGUGUCAUUAGAAAAGAACAUUUCUCUAAGGAGGGCAAUUUAGUAAUAAGUAUUCUGAUUAUGAAAGAAGCCUUGGUAUAACCUGGUAAAAAAUAGCUACAAUAUACACCAUACAAUUACUACUUUUUUAAAAGACUGAUGUUAAAAUUCAUGCACAUUCUCCCUUAUAAGAAGUAUGAUGGAUAGUGUUGGAAAGUCAAUCUAUUGUGCGCUGAAAUUAGAGAAAGCAUUCAGUUUAAAUAGUCUAUCAAAUCUUUUUGGUUAGAGGAUUCAUAAAGGAAUAUGUGUAACUACAUGGUUAUGGCAUAUUUAAAAAUGCUUUGUGUUGUUUUGUUCAAAAUAAAAUAUCUUAAAUUAGCAGAACUGAGAGAACAUUAGUCAGUUAUAACAGGUAUCUGUUACUGAGUUAGAGACACUGGCAUAACAAAAAUGAAAAGACUCAACAAUUUUCACAUUCUCAGGACAAGAGAGAAGGAAGAACUGAGUAGAGUUUGGAAAGUGUAUGGGCAGAGAAAAAUGACUUAGAAUAAAUGGAGGAGUAUUUAAGCAAAAGAAGGUACCUUGAGAUUGUGAGACACAGAACACAAUGCCUCAGGUGUCUGCUUAUGUUUUCCAACAGGCUUAGGAACAACUAGAUAAAUAAACAAGUUUGUAAGCUCAUAUCGUUUACCCAGGACUACCUGUCAGCAGCACUGGAUGGAGGAAAUCAGUUAUCUCACUCAUAGGAUAGCCUUUUGACUUCUCUUGUGUUGCUAAUAUUUGUGGCCAUUCAAUUAAUCUCUCUACAUCUUGCCACUUGCCUCUCUGGAUAAGGCAGAAUAGAAAG
rnacentral:lncRNA from 1 species